AGUGAACGCUGGCGGUAGGCCUAACACAUGCAAGUCGAACGGCAGCACAGUAAGAGCUUGCUCUUACGGGUGGCGAGUGGCGGACGGGUGAGGAAUACAUCGGAAUCUACUUUUUCGUGGGGGAUAACGUAGGGAAACUUACGCUAAUACCGCAUACGACCUACGGGUGAAAGCAGGGGAUCUUCGGACCUUGCGCGAUUGAAUGAGCCGAUGUUGGAUUAGCUAGUUGGCGGGGUAAAGGCCCACCAAGGCGACGAUCCGUAGCUGGUCUGAGAGGAUGAUCAGCCACACUGGACCUGAGACACGGUCCAGACUCCUACGGGAGGAAGCAGUGGGGAAUAUUGGACAAGGGGCGCAAGCCUGAUCCAGCCAUACCGCGUGGGUGAAGAAGGCCUUCGGGUUGUAAACCCCUUUUGUUGGGAAAGAAAAGCAGCAGGUUAAUCCCCCGCUGUUCUGACGGUACCCAAAGAAUAAGCACCGGCUAACUUCGU
rnacentral:rRNA from 1 species